AUUGAACGCUGGCGGCACGCUUAACACAUGCAAGUCGAACGGCAGCGGGGAGAAGCUUGCUUCUCUGCCGGCGAGUGGCGGACGGGUGAGUAACGCGUAGGGAUCUGCCUGAUAGAGUGGGAUAAGCCGAGGAAACUUGGCGUAAUACCGCAUACGCUCUGAGGUGGAAAGGAUGGGACUACCGAGAGGUGGCCAUUUACUAUCAGAUGAACCUGCGUUAGAUUAGCUAGUUGGUAGGGUAAAGGCCUACCAAGGCGAUGAUCUAUAGCUGGUCUGAGAGGAUGACCAGCCACACUGGAACUGAGAGACGGACCAGACUCCUACGGGAGGCAGCAGUGGGGAAUAUUGGACAAUGGGGGGAACCCUGAUCCAGCGAUGCCGCGUGUGUGAAGAAGGCCUGAGGGGUUGUAAAAACUCUUUCGCCGGUGAAGAUAAUGACGGUAACCGGAGAAGAAGCCCCCGGCUAACUUCGUGCCAGCAGCCGCGGUAA
rnacentral:rRNA from 1 species